rnacentral:lncRNA from 1 species
CUCGUGGCUAGUUCAGGCGGAAGGAGCAGUCCUCUGAAGCUUGAGGAGCCUCUAGAACUAUGAGCCCGAGGCCUUCCCCUCUCCCAGAGCGCAGAGGCUUUGAAGGCUACCUCUGGGAAGCCGCUCACCGUCGGAAGCUGCGGGAGCUGAAACUGCGCCAUCGUCACUGUCGGCGGCCAUGACACCGCUCGUCUCCCGCCUGAGUCGUCUGUGGGCCAUCAUGAGGAAGCCACGAGCAGCCGUGGGAAGUGGUCACAGGAAGCAGGCAGCCAGCCAGGAAGGGAGGCAGAAGCAUGCUAAGAACAACAGUCAGGCCAAGCCUUCUGCCUGUGAUGGCAGAAGAUGAGAUGGACCUGGACAGGCGGGCAUAUGCUGGUCAGUACAUCUCCUGAGAGCAGGGCCACUUUGCCUCGAGGCCCUUGGGUCUGGGGGCUGUGGGCCAGGUAGGGGCAGGUCAGCAGUGUCCUCAUGCCAACCCCUUUCCCCCAGUGUGGGUCUCAGAGGUCAUGCUGCAGCAGACCCAGGUUGCCACUGUGAUCAACUACUAUACCGGAUGGAUGCAGGUGACUCCAGGGGAGGAAGGGAAGGGUCAUGGGUCAGACCCCAGAUGAGAGCCUCUACUUUGGGGUGGGUGUAGAGAAGGCUUCCUCUACCACCUUCACCCUUGACCUUGUCUCUUUCUGCCUGCCUGUGGCUAUAGAAGUGGCCUACACUGCAGGACCUGGCCAGUGCUUCCCUGGAGGUGAGAGCCACCCUAGGGUAGGGGAAAUAGGAACAAUAGAGGGACUGACGGGUGAUCUCUUUGACCUCUGAUCCUACC